rnacentral:tRNA from 1 species
AGAAAGUUAGUCUAACUAAGACAGUUGAUUUCGACUCAACAGAUUAUAGUCCCCACCCUAUAACUUUCUU